GAUGAACGCUGGCGGCGUGCCUAAUACAUGCAAGUCGAGCGAACAGACGAGGAGCUUGCUCCUCUGACGUUAGCGGCGGACGGGUGAGUAACACGUGGAUAACCUACCUAUAAGACUGGGAUAACUUCGGGAAACCGGAGCUAAUACCGGAUAAUAUAUUUAACCGCAUGGUUCAAUAGUGAAAGACGGUUUUGCUGUCACUUAUAGAUGGAUCCGCGCCGCAUUAGCUAGUUGGUAAGGUAACGGCUUACCAAGGCGACGAUGCGUAGCCGACCUGAGAGGGUGAUCGGCCACACUGGAACUGAGCCACGGUCCAGACUCCUACGGGAGGCAGCAGUAGGGAAUCUUGCGCAAUGGGCGAAAGCCUGACGGAGCAACGCCGCGUGAGUGAUGAAGGUCUUCGGAUCGUAAACCUCUGUUAUUAGGGAAGAAGAAAUGUGUAAGUAAAUAUGCACGUCUUGACGGUACCUAAUCAGAAAGCCACGGCUAACUACGUG
rnacentral:rRNA from 1 species